ensembl:lncRNA
UAACGACAGAGGAGUUUGACAGCACAGCAUGGACUAAACCUGAUGCGCGUGAACAGCAGCUCACCGCUUCGAUCGAGUGCAUGCUACAUUUGCAUAUUGCACUUCAUGUCUUUUUUUACUACAAGUGCCUAAAUCAAGGCAUUGGGUGAUAUGAAGGUAUUAUCAGUCAUAAAAUGCGCACAGGAUAUGCAGUUUCCAGUAGAAGUGAACCAAUGCAGACAAGUCUCCGUUUGAUGAACUUGAUUCACCCUGGAGUCUCAGUGUCAUCUUGAAGCUGGACGAUGCGCGCGGAACUUUCCAGAUAGAUCAAUGUUAUGAAUUUACAUUAUGCCUUCACUACAUCAUGGCGCUAUUUUUAUUGGAGUAUUUUUAAUAGUCACCGGUGGCUCCACCGCUUUCCUAACCUCUAAUCAAAGUCGACUGCAGCCGUUCAGCAUGUGCUGUGUGGUGCUCGGGGCGGUGAUGCUCAUAUUAGGGCUCUUCUGGGCGAUGAACGGCAAGAGAAACCCGGUGCCUUAUAAUGAAGAGUACAGCCACGACUACAGUCAAGUCCUGUUCACCCCACCGCCCGGAAACCACUUCCCCGAAUCCCAGUCCGUCUUUCUGCACGGGACUUUGCAAAGGCGAGAUGUAUGUGGUGAAGAUCUGGACUAUCCCCCGAUGGAGCCAACCUGUUUUAGCCCUACCACUCAGGGUCGGCCGCCUCACUGGGACAUGGAACCUCCCCCGCCUUAUGAGGUGGCCAUCAAAACCACUAGGAGCUCCACGCACCUGAGACGCAGCUACUCAGACACACAGCUGCUAACUGAACCUCUGUUUGGACGCUCACGGGAGAUCAGUUUCGAAGUGUGACAUCUGAGCCACAUUCAUCUCUGAAUACCCAACCUAACAAGUGUUGAUGAAGCUUUAAAACAGGCAUUGACAAUCCACAGCUCCUCGAGGGGGUGUUGUGUGCCUCUUGAGAUGGUUCUCAUCUUUACCAUGUGUUUACAGCCAUAUUCAGAAAGAAAUGUAGAAAUACUAUGCUUUUAAUGUAUUAUAAAUAUAAAAUCUAUACAUAAGCUAUUGGAAAUAAGUGGUUAAUAUCUCAUUAAACAUAAUGCAAUGCAAAAAAAAAAGAGGAGGCUUUAAUUUUCAGUCAUCAGUCAUCUCAAUAACUGAUCACUCUAAUUCUGUAUAUUCUAGUAUACUUGAAUGUGAGAAACUUAGCUUCUGCAUAUGGGAGCGUAUUUAGUUCUGUCAAAGCUAGUGAAGCACAAAGACG